rnacentral:lncRNA from 1 species
CCCAUUCCUACAAUACAGGUUCUGAAACAGUACAAAUUUCAGCUAGGCUAGCUAGCAUUGGUGCUACUGUAUAAAUUGUUGGACAACCAAUUAAUAUUUCUGUUGGCAUCUUGUACAAAUUGUUGCUUCACUUGCAACUAUCAAUCUGCAUUACUUCUCCCUCCAUUUCUUUUCCUACUAAACAUACUUUUUGCCCCUCAUAAGAACACCUACUACUUGCAGUUGCCACUUGCAACACAAACAAAAAAGAUAGAAAUAAUGGAAACGAUAGUUAGAUGAACUUAACAUAGCAGUCUCCACUUGUCCAUUGACCCAUCUGCUCAAGGGUUUUGUUUUGCCUUCCUUCACAGCCACAGCAAGAACAACCGGGCCGGCAACAACGGAGCCCACACAUCUUUGUACAAGGCCCUCGAUCACCAAUCUCAUGUCAACCCAUGCUGCCCUGCUGUGGUCCGAGGUCCGGCGGAAACAUGUGACCAUCGCCAGCCCUGUGGUGCGCCACAAGCAAGCUGCCCAACCUACCAACAAUUUUUCUUAGUGCUGGGUUUCGACGGUCUCAGGAGGAGACAUCAGUUCGAUGCACACGGUGAAACCAAAUCAUGAACAGUAAGGAAUGUAAUAUCAUGGACCGGCGCAAGUAAUCUGAAGCAACAGUAUGGUCUAAGGCAAUCAAGUGUAGCUCAUACCUUCUUAGAAAUGGCAUUACUCAAUGAUUUCUCGAAAAGAUGUACCUGAAAUUUCAUAACAGCACAUACAUUACAAAAUUAGCAAGUCCGUGUGUACACAUCUACAUGGAAGUAACACUACAGAAAAAAUCGGCAUGCAGCUAAGCAACAAUGGAGUAAAACACAUACUGACCACUAGGAUGCGGGUCUACCAGUCUCGACUGCGACGCUUCAAUCAUUCAGAAUUGGCUCCUGUUUGGUCGUUGGCUCUUCCUUGCCAAAGCACUCUUAAUCUGGUAGCCAAUUUUGGAUGCAGGUUCACUCAACUCACCUCUUAUGUUCUGCUCUGUUGUUCUGUUCCCCACACAAUCAAUCUGUAUUUUCCCUUCAAAAAAUUUCCAACUAUAUAAUAACCUUUAUAAAAAGAUUUUUAUCUUUUUGGAAACAACAUGUAAACCAAGAGUGAGCAGAAAUAGCAUUAGCUGGGAAAGGUACAGCUGGGAUGCCCACCAUGAACUAGCAUAGCAGUCUCCACUUGUCCAUUGACAAAAUCUGCUCCAGGGGUUUUGCCCUUUACAACCACCGGCGACUGGGGAUCUUCGUGCUAGGCCCUCGAUCACAAUCUACCGAGAACCCGUGCUGCCCUGCCCUGCUGCCGCCUGAGGUCUGGCCAUCAAGCAGGGUCGCUGCUAAAGCGAGCGAUGAAAGGCAGGAACCGACUUGUUGGGCUGAUGGAGCUCAUGAGGCAGAGUUGCAAAGUAAUUAAAGCCUCUCAUCCACCUUUCCAACUUCUGCAUCGACCCAUCUUCUGACGGUGAGCAGUAGCGUCACAGCUGGUGCUCU